GAUGAACGCUGGCGGCGUGCCUAAUACAUGCAAGUCGAGCGAACAGACGAGGAGCUUGCUCCUCUUACGUUAGCGGCGGACGGGUGAGUAACACGUGGAUAACCUACCUAUAAGACUGGGAUAACUUCGGGAAACCGGAGCUAAUACCGGAUAAUAUAUUGAACCGCAUGGUUCAAUAGUGAAAGACGGUUUUGCUGUCACUUAUAGAUGGAUCCGCGCCGCAUUAGCUAGUUGGUAAGGUAACGGCUUACCAAGGCGACGAUGCGUAGCCGACCUGAGAGAGUGAUAGGCCACACGGGAAGUGAGACAGGGUCAAGACGCCUACGGGAGGGAGCAGUAGGGAAUCUGACGCAAUGGGCGAAAGCCUGACGGAGCAACGCCGCGUGAGUGAUGAAGGUCUUCGGAGCGUAAAACUCUGUUAUUAGGGAAGAACAAAUGUGUAAGUAACUAUGCACGUCUUGACGGUACCUAAACAGAAAGCGACGGCUAACUACGUG
rnacentral:rRNA from 1 species